rnacentral:rRNA from 1 species
CAGCCGCCGCGGGAAUACAGAGGGUGCGAGCGUUAAUCGGAUUUACUGGGCGUAAAGCGUGCGUAGGCGGAUAAUUGAGUCGGAUGUGAAAUCCCCGAGCUUAACUUGGGAAUUGCAUUCGAUACUGGUUAGCUAGAGUGUGGGAGAGGAUGGUAGAAUUCCAGGUGUAGCGGUGAAAUGCGUAGAGAUCUGGAGGAAUACCGAUGGCGAAGGCAGCCAUCUGGCCUAACACUGACGCUGAGGUACGAAAGCAUGGGGAGCAAACAGGAUUAGAUACCCCAGUAGUCCCUGUCUCUUAUAC